AUGGUUGACGACGCCCUCCUCUGUAGGCGCGUCGAAGCGGCGCCCUCCGGCGCUGGAAUUCGCCACAUGACUGCCGACGGCAGUGGCGGCAAAUGGCAAGGCCUCUCUAUGGCCAGAGGAAGCCAGCCUGGCGAUCUGCAAUUGUCGCAGACGAUGACUGGAGAAGUCUGGACAAGUUGGCUACUAGAGUUUCGGCCACCACGCGAUUCACGGCGAAGACGAGAUGUUCCUUAUACAAAAAGGAAAGAAACUAAUCAGGAGAUUGAUCGAUUGAUCAAGUCUUCUUGCAAUCAUCAAUUAAUAAUCUAA
rnacentral:rRNA from 1 species